AUUCUGGUCAGUGUGACAUGAGAAGGGCAAGCCUAUGAUUAAAAACUAACCCAAAUAAAGAAAGUGGUGCCCUGAAAUUUCAGCUCCAGUCAGAUCGGUGUCUGAUUUGAGGCUUUGAAAGGUAGGGAUUGUUGGAUGAAUUCCCAAAGCAACACGAGGACCUGUGUGGGAGAAGCUGGAGUCUGUCUGUUUGCAAGAAGAAUGAAGUUUAUUAGAAGAGGGCAGCAGUCUUCUUGUUGAACUGGACUUUGGCAAAGGCUGCAGCUGUCACUGGUGGCUCAUCUUGAAACAAUUCAGUGCUGUUUUGGAGA
rnacentral:lncRNA from 1 species